AGUUUGAUCCUGGCUCAGGAUGAACGCUAGCUACAGGCUUAACACAUGCAAGUCGCGGGGCAGCAUGAAGGAUGCUUGCAUUCUUUGAUGGCGACCGGCGCACGGGUGAGUAACGCGUAUCCAACCUGCCCCUUUCCCCGGCACAGCCCGUAGAAAUGCGGAUUAAUGCCGGAUGCGGUCGUGUGACGGCAUCAGAGCACGACGAAAGGAGCGAUCCGGAAAGGGAUGGGGAUGCGUCCGAUUAGCUUGACGGCGGGGUAACGGCCCACCGUGGCGACGAUCGGUAGGGGCCCUGAGAGGGGAAUCCCCCACAUUGGGACUGAGACACGGCCCAAACUCCUACGGGAGGCAGCAGUGAGGAAUAUUGGUCAAUGGGCGGAAGCCUGAACCAGCCAAGUAGCGUGAGGGACGACGGCCCUAUGGGUUGUAAACCUCUUUUGUACGGGGAUAAAGUGUGGGACGCGUCCCAUAUUGCAGGUACCGUACGAAUAAGGACCGGCUAAUUCCGUGCCAGCAGCCGCGGUAAUACGGAAGGUCCGGGCGUUAUCCGGAUUCAUUGGGUUUAAAGGGAGCGCAGGCCGCCUUUUAAGCGUGCCGUGAAAUGCCGUGGCUCAACCAUGGCACUGCGGCGCGAACUGGAGGGCUUGAGUGCGCGGAAGGCAGGCGGAACUCGUGGUGUAGCGGUGAAAUGCUUAGAUAUCACGAAGAACUCCGAUUGCGAAGGCAGCCUGCCGCAGCGCAACUGACGCUGAGGCUCGAAAGCGCGGGUAUCGAACAGGAUUAGAUACCCUGGUAGUCCGCGCGGUAAACGAUGGAUGCCCGCCGUGGGGGAUUAAUUUUCCGCGGCCAAGCGAAAGCGUUAAGCAUCCCACCUGGGGAGUACGCCGGCAACGGUGAAACUCAAAGGAAUUGACGGGGGCCCG
rnacentral:rRNA from 1 species